rnacentral:rRNA from 1 species
CCUACGGGGGGCAGCAGUGGGGAAUAUUGCACAAUGGGGGAAACCCUGAUGCAGCGAAGCCGCGUGAGUGAAGACGUAUCUCGGUAUGUAAAGCUCUAUCAGCAGGGAAGAAAAUGACGGUACCUGACUAAGAAGCCCCGGCUAACUACGAGCCAGCAGCCGCGGGAAUAUGCAGGGGGCAAGCGUUAUACGGAUUUACUGGGUGUAAAGGGAGCGUAGACGGGGCUGCAAGUCCGGAGUGAAAGACUAUGGCUUAACCAUGGUACUGCUCUGGAAACUGUGGAGCUUGAGUGCGGGAGGGGCAGGCGGAAUGCCUGGUGUAGCGGUGAAAUGCGUAGAUAUUAGGAAGAACACCGGCGGCGAAGGCAGCCUACUGGACCGUAACUGACGUUGAGGCUCGAAAGCGUGGGGAGCAAACAGGAUUAGAUACCCGUGUAGUC